rnacentral:rRNA from 1 species
UACAGAGGGUGCGAGCGUUAAUCGGAAUUACUGGGCGUAAAGCGUGCGCAGGCGGUUCGUUGUGUCGGUGGUGAAAGCCCCGGGCUUAACCUGGGAAUGGCCAUGGAAACUGGCGAACUGGAGUGUGGCAGAGGGGGGUGGAAUUCCGCGUGUAGCAGUGAAAUGCGUAGAGAUACGGAGGAACACCGAUGGCGAAGGCAGCCCCCUGGGCUAGCACUGACGCUCAGGCACGAAAGCGUGGGGAGCAAACAGG